rnacentral:rRNA from 1 species
UACAGAGGUGGCAAGCGUUGUUCGGAAUUACUGGGCGUAAAGGGCGCGUAGGCGGCCUUCUAGGUCAGACGUGAAAUCCCCCGGCUUAACCUGGGAACUGCGUCUGAUACUGGAUGGCUUGAAUUCGGGAGAGGGAUGCAGAAUUCCAGGUGUAGCGGUGAAAUGCGUAGAUAUCUGGAGGAAUACCGGUGGCGAAGGCGGCAUCCUGGACCGACAUUGACGCUGAGGAGCGAAAGCUAGGGGAGCAAACGGG